UAUUCUAGGAAGUGAGCUGACUGGCAGGAAUGUUGUUGGCAACAGUGAAUAUGGGAAAAUAUUCCCAAAACACAGGGCUCAGGUCUGAUGUACUUCACCACCCUUUACAUCACAACUGAAUAUGAACCAUAGCUGCCUGGCUGUCAACCCAGCAGCUUUCACCAGCUCUACAGUCAUAUAUCACCAAACGGAAGAAAGAAAGAAAGAAAGAAAGAAACCAACCAACCAACCAACCAACCAACCAACCAACCAAACAAACAAACAAACAAACAAACAGACAUAUUUGGGGAGAGCUGAAGUACAGCGGGAUUAAAUGAUUUGCCCAAGGGCACAGAGCAAGUGAGCAAGGAUGAGGUAUGACCAAGAAGGGAGUUUAGGCUCCACCUCCAGUUCUAUUGAGCAUGAAGCAGUUGCAGGGACUCUACGCUUCCCAAAACCAGAACAUCAGUACUUCAGGUGAGGUACUGAAAAUACAGUGUUCUUGUGAACUCCGCCCCACUUUCAGAGAGGGGACUCAAAAGGCCUGAUUUCCCCACACCUCAUAGGAUAAAAGUUCCUGCAAUCAAACAUAAGGGCAGUUACUUGUAUCCUAAUGACGGGGGGAGGGAAGUGGAAGCUGAGACACACAAUGGAGGAUGAACAAGCGAGUGCUUGAAGAACAUCACCAUGGUGAAGGGGAAAAAGGGAUAUGAACAAAUACUGACCGUCUACAGAUGGAAAUCAGAGAAAACAGAGCAGCAAUCUGAAGGUGAAUCUCUCAACAGUAUUUAGUCCUACCGUGCACUUCCUUCACUGUAGCUCCUUCUCCUUUUAUUCUUUUUAAAUUUGGGCAUCAUUGUAUUUUUGGACAAUCAAAAGCUGCAAUGAAUGUUUGGUACAGGACUACCCCACCCCCCAACACCACACAUAUGCUUUCAUCAUGUGUUGUAUUGUCAAACCAAUGACAUAUUGAGCUUAUUUCUGGUGGCACAAGCUCCCUAACGCACGCUGCUUAUGUGUCUCAGUUUGGUCAUUCUCCGGGAUCCAUUUAGUUGUUGCCUUCCCUGCAAAGAACACCAUCAAAGGACAAUACGUAGUACCAAUUGUGAAGGGUCCUUUUAUAGUAUAGAAACGUAACCUCCAGGAACUGAAGUGAGACCCCCCAACACAGUUCACAUAGACCUCUGAACACCUGUCACAUGAUAACUUUCCAUCAUCACUGACAUGCCACAUUUAAACUAGGGAGCUAAAGGCCAAAAGGUUCACACUCUAUUACCAAUUUCCUCAUUUAUCCAGUCCCCCAAAGCCUACAUUAAUUAACCCCCACACUGGCCUUUGGGAAAUCAUUAAGAGUUUAGAAGCCAUGCUGUCUGAUUCUCAAGGAGACCCUACUUAUCAAUGGUUACCUUUCUGUUCCAGUAUAGAGAGAUUAAGGGAGAGAAUUUUCAAUAUACAGGUUACUGUAUGGACCAACCUGAGGUUACCAAACUCAAUUUAAUCUGAGUUCCCUACUGGUCUUUGAACAUUGCAGCCUCUUCCUUUAGCUCCCUAGGCCUUCAAGAGUAAGUAAGGAAAUUAUGGUUCUUUGUUUUCUCUGUGUAUCCUUUACAGAAUGCUAAAUACUGCACUGUGAAGCUAUAAGAUUACAUUGGAAAUGGAAAGGGAAGGGUUUGGCUUUCAAUAAAUUGUACUAGUGCUAUAAGUAGCAUUUAGGUAAUUGUCUAGGGGGUUAUUUUUUCACUUGGACAACUCCAUUUUUCCUAAAAUAGAUUUUUGUAGAGGCUGCAUACAGUAGAUUUGUCUCUGCCCCUCUUUUGGCUCUUUGCCUGUUUCAUUGGCACAGGCUGGCACCAUUAGUGGGCAUUAGAACAUAAGAAUAGCCAUACUGAGUCAGGCCAAAGUUCCAUCUAGCCAAGUAUCCUGUCUUCCAAUAGUGGCCAAUGCCAGGUGCUCCAGAGGAAAUGAACAGAACAGGUAAUCAUCAAGUGAUCCAUCCCCUGUGGCUCAUUCCCAGCUUAUGGCAAACAAAGGCUAGGGACACCAUCCCUGCCCAAACUAUUUUGGUCUUUCAUUCACGUCAUGUACAGCUUAGAAGAGCAUAUGCUUCUUUGGAAGGAUGGUCCAAUGGUUAGACAACUAACUGGAGCUUGGGAUGUCAGCCUUCAAUUCCCUGCUCCACCACAGACUUCCUGUGUGAUACUUAAUCUCUCUGUGCCUCAGUUCCCCAUCUGCAAAAUGGGAAUAAAAGCAUAGCCCUACCUCACACAGGUGUUGUGAGGAUGAAUAUAUUAAAGAUUGUGAGGUGCUCAGUUAUUCUGGUGGUUGAACAAGUACCUUAGAUAUGCUACUUUAUUGAUAAAGAAUAGAUGUUAGAUCAGAUUAGGUGUUUGCUGUGUGAAUUAGAUAAAUAUUGAAGCAGAUCAUGAACUGAUCAAGAGAGAUUGAAUGAAGCAUCCAUGUGCACUAUACGAGCCACCUACAGGUAGCAUUAUCAGACUAUGGGGUUGUGACGUUGCACUCUAUAUGAUUUUAUAAAAAUAUGCUAAUGAGCGUGAAAAUUCUGUAACUGGAAUAUGCUUCAUGCAAAAGGUCUCUUGUAAGGUAUCAAUACAAAGCUUAUAAUCUACUGAGUGUGUUCCUAUUUGUAUAAAUGUAUCACUCUUGUAUCUGAAACUAGAAAUAUGAAAUAUAACUCUCAGGUCCUAUUGUAGUUAUGCAAAGUGUGGGCCAUUAAUGGUGGUUUGGAAUCUUAAUGGCUCCCAUUAACCAGGACAGUUGACUGUAGAUGGCUCUGUUUUACUUGUAAGUCUUCCUGGCUGGCAAGUGGGUAAUGAAGUCUUACAGUGACAUGUGAUCAUGUCACCUGAACUGGAAUCCAUCUUUAACCUGGUGCUUUUCCAUUGAGAAGGAGGGGGUGCAAACCCAGAGGGUCAAAGGAUUCCUGCCUUAGGCAAAAGGUAUAUAAGUGGAUGAAACAAAACAAAGAGAGGCGGCCAUCAUGAGAAAUCCCCUAGCUACCACCUGAGCUGGAACAAGGGCUGUACCAGGGGAAAGGAUUCAGCCCAGACUAGGAAGGUGUCCAGUCUGUGAAAGAAACUUAUUGAAACAUCUCUGAGGGUGAGAUUCUAUCUGUAUUCAGUUUUAUUACUGUACUAGGCUUAGACUUGCAUGUUUUCUUUUAUUUUGCUUGGUAAUUCACUUUGUUCUGUCUGCUAUUACUUGGAACCACUUAAAUCCUACUUACUUUAU